rnacentral:rRNA from 1 species
UACAGAGGAUGCAAGCGUUAUCCGGAAUGAUUGGGCGUAAAGCGUCUGUAGGUGGCUUUUUAAGUCCGCCGUCAAAUCCCAGGGCUCAACUCUGGACAGGCGGUGGAAACUACCAAGCUGGAGUACGGUAGGGGCAAGUGGAACAAACGGUGGAGCGGUGAAAUGCGUAGAUAUCGUUUGGAACGCCAAUGGUGAAAACAACUUGCUGGGGGUGUGCUGACGCUGAGACACGAAAGCCAGGGGAGCAAACGGG